rnacentral:lncRNA from 1 species
CACAGACAGUGUAUCGGACUGCAGCCUGGAGACGCCAUUGUGAAGAUCAACGGAGCAGAUGUACAGAGUCUCAGCUUUGCACAGGUCCAGCGGCUUUUGCAGGAACACACUAAAAAAGGGGAGGUUAUUCUGCUGGUUUACAGAGGUGCACCCUCGCAUUUCUCCAUUUCCCCUAAUUCUGUGCGACGACUGACUCCUCCCCCUCCUCGCUCCGCCUCUGACUCUGAAGUCCCUUUUACCAACUCCAUGCCAUUAUCGCGCAGCACUUUAACCCCGUCCUCUCCAGCGCUGGUUCGCUCUUCAUUGGUCCAGAGUACCAGCUUUCUUGAUUCUGUUCCUGUCACUCUCACACUGGAGCCACGCGAUUGGAUGAGUUCAGAGGAAGGCGGGACGGUACUCAGUCCCAGAGUGAAAACAGAGGAGAAAGAAAAGCCCCCUGUGCUGUGGGGGUAUGAGGUGGAGCUGAAGAGAAAGCCAGGUGAAGGCUU